UACGUAGGCACCAAGCGUUGUCCGGAUUUAUUGGGCGUAAAGAGCUCGUAGGCGGUUCAGUAAGUCGGGUGUGAAAACUCUGGGCUCAACCCAGAGACGCCACCCGAUACUGCUGUGACUUGAGUACGGUAGGGGAGUGGGGAAUUCCUGGUGUAGCGGUGAAAUGCGCAGAUAUCAGGAAGAACACCAACGGCGAAGGCAGCUCGCUGGGACGGUACUGACGCUGAGACGCGAAAGCGUGGGGAGCGAACAGG
rnacentral:rRNA from 1 species